rnacentral:rRNA from 1 species
AUUGAACGCUGGCGGUAGGCCUAACACAUGCAAGUCGAACGGCAGCACAGUAAGAGCUUGCGCUUACGGGUGGCGAGGGGCGGACGGGUGAGGAAUACAUCGGAAUCUACUUUUGCGUGGGUGAGAACGUAGGGAAACUUACGCUAAUACCGCAUACGACGUACGGGUGAAAGCAGGGGAUCUCCGGACCUUGCGCGAGUGAAUGAGCGGAUGUCGGAUUAGUGAGUUUGCGGGGUAAAGGCCCACCAAGGCGACGAUCCGUAGCUGGCCUGAGAGGAUGAUAGGCACAACUGGACCUGAGAACCGUCCAAGCCCCUUACGGGAGGCAGCAGUGGGGAAUAUUGACAAAUGGGCGAAAGCCUGAUCAAGCCAGACGGCGUGGGUGAAGAAGGCCUUCGGGUUGUAAAGCCCUUUUGUUGGGAAAGAAAAGAAGAAGGUUAAUACCCCGCUGUCCGGACGGUACCAAAAGAAUAAGCACCGCCGACCUUCGU